AACGCACAUUGCGGCCACGGGUAUUCCCGUGGCCAUGCCUGUUCGAGCGUCAUUUACACCCUCAAGCCUCGCUUGGUGUUGGGCGUCUGUCCCCCCGCGACACCUCUCGCCGCGGGGACUCGCCUCAAAGUCAUCCCGACGCGCGGUUAGGACGGCACUUUCGCAGCACAUUUGCGCAGAGAAAGCCGGCCAAACCGGGCACGGGGCAACAAACCUUUCACGACUUGACCUCGGAUCAGGUAGGGAUACCCGCUGAACUUAA
rnacentral:misc_RNA from 1 species